GGAAUGCCUAUGGCAAGAAUGAAUGAGCUGAGGUGUAUUUGCAUAAGUACAGAGACAAAGUUUGUCUCUCCUAAAUAUUUCCAGAAUGUUGAGAUUAUUCCCAAAGGACCACACUGCAAAAAUGUGGAAGUGAUGUAAGUCGUUAAAGUUACGUAUUCCAUAAAUUAAGAUUUUGAACAUAUUGUUCUAGUUGAGAAAACUAAAACCAAUAGAAACUUUACAUAAUAUAUUUUGUUCAUUCCAUAGAGUAACAUUAAAAAAUGGACAAGAAGUAUGCUUGGAACCAACAACCUCAUGGGUUAAGAAGAUUGUUAAUAAAAUUCUAGACAGGUACGUACAGUAAAAAAAAUAAGUAAGAACCCAAUUUUCGAGAAGUUUACAUUUUUAAAUUAUUUGUUUACAUAUUUAAUUAAAAACAAGAAUACAAGUUUUUGAGUAUAAUAGAAACAUAAUCUGACUGUCAAAUUAGUAGUUUAUGCUAAGCACUAUGGUGAAUUCAGUGUAUUGCGUCUGCAUGCUGCAACUAUAAAGUGGUCUGAGAGCUUUCUCUUCCCUGAUUUCAAUAUGUCAAUAAUGACUAAUUAAAUUCUCAAAUAAAUGCAAAUUCUACCAAUAUAUUCAAUAUCUAAAUAUCUAGAUAUGGAUAUAAUUUAUCCAUCUAUUAUACAUACAAUAUAAUAUAUUAUAUAAUAUACAUACAUAGUACAUAAUAUGUACUAUAUAAUAUAUGCAUUAUUUAUACAGUUUUGUAAUUUAAACCACCAUAUUUCGGCUUCCUUCGUAGCUCAAAAACUGCAGCUCCAGCUAAGUAAAGUAGCAAAUGACAAAAGUGGCAAGAAGUUUUACGCAUCAACAUAAAGAAAGAACGCACAUGAAGCAACUGAAUACAAACUCCUAUAAUGAAGAACGUGUUUGUUUAAUUUCCAUUUUUAUUGAAGAUCUAUACUAUUUGAUACAAUUCAUUCAAUAAUUC